AUAUUAAGAGGAGAUUUGCCCACUUUCCUUCCGUCUUUGAAAUCACUCCACAUUGUUAGAUGCGAGGAGCUUGGUUAUUAUCUGCCAAGAGCUCCCAUCCUACGCGAAUUAACAAUAGAUGGCAAACAGAAAGCAAGAAUGCGGGACCUACCACUUUCCAUGUUGGAGAGACUAUUGGUUAAUGGAGAGCAGCAGGUGGAGUAUGUGAUUGAGGCCAUGACCCACACCCAACCAACCUCUCUCAUACACCUACAGAUCUCAGAGUGCUCAUCAGCCAUAUCAUUUCCAGGGGAUUCUUUGCCCCCUUCAUUGGAAGAGCUAUCAAUUGAGGAUUGCAAGAAUGUAGAAUUCCCAAUGCAACACCAACAACAUCAGUCACUAAGGAGUCUUAGAAUAGACAACAGCUGCAAUUCACUUACAUCCUUGGCAUUGCCAGCGUUCACAAAUCUCAAGUAUCUCAGAAUCGCAAGCCGUAAAGAUUUGACAUCUCUGGAGGUGUCACAGUCACAGUCCCUUGAAUACUUAUCAAUUUCAGAGUGCCCUAAGCUGGGGAAGAUAAUAAGGCUGCCUGGCUCUUUAAGGGAACUCUCCAUCAGUAACUGUCCGUUGUUGGGUGAAGGCAUAGGGAGGAAGGACCCCCCACAUUUGGCCUUCCAUUUCCCACAUCCCUAACAUCUAUGUCAAUAGGAAACGGAUUCGCAAAGACUCAACAUCUUAAAGCAGAAAACACAAAACUGAUUCCUCUCUUUUCACACUGUUCAUCACCACUCUACUCGAUGCCUACUUUUGGGAACAUAUAGUAUGGGUAUACAAUGUCAAUUUUCGUCUUUUUUUUCCCCUAAUUUCUUCUUCUUUGUUCUUCAUGUAUAGGGACAUUUAAUGAUUCUUCUGGGACUUAUCAAUUUACUACAGUUCGGUUGUGCAACUCCAUUCUUCUACUUUUGCUCCAUGCCUUGUCUUACACCCAAAUGGAAGGUCUUUCAUUAUCUUUCUUCGUGUUGCUCCUGCUUGCUUGCCCGUGCCCUUUGUUAGAUUUGGUAUAAGUUUAUCAUCUUAUUAUUAAUUCUGUUGAAGUAAGAAACUAAUAAACUUUGUGAGAGUUAAGUCCUAUUUCAGUCCCUGAGAUUGACGAGUUGCACUAAUUUAGUCUUCCAAAUUCCGAUUGCAUUUAAUUAGUCCCCCAGAUUCAAAAAAAUGUACCACGUUAGUCCUUAGCCAUAUUUCCAUCACCGAAGGACUGACGC